GGUCCCUUCGUCUAUCGGUUAGGACGAGAGAUUUUCAUUCUCUAAAGAGGAGUUCGACUCUCCUAGGGACUACCC
rnacentral:tRNA from 1 species